rnacentral:rRNA from 1 species
AUGCCACCAGGGGGAGGAGAAGCAAGCCAGCAUGGCCGCACGGGGAAGGAGCAGAGCGAUCCGCCGGAGAUCCGCCGCCGCGACGACUCCCGUCCCGCGCCGCCGUUCCCCGUCGUAGCUUCUCAGAAGAGGAGGCAGACGCAGCCGGCGUCGGAGGUGGUGAGCGUCCCCGAGGGCCCCCUCGUCGAGAUCCUGGCGCGGCUGCCGUACCGGUCGCUCUGCCGAUUCAAGUGCGUCUCCAAGCAGUGGCGCGUCCUCUGCUCCGACCCCAGCAUCGUCAAGAGGGCGACGCAGACCCUCUCCGGAUUCUUCCAAUACGGCCCGGCCGGCAGCCUCCGCUUCAGCAAUCUGUCCGGCGGACGUCCGCUGGUCGACGCUUCGCUCCCUUUCCUGCGCCCGAGAUACCAAAGGAUCAAUAUCGAGCAAUGCUCCACCAGCCUUCUCCUCUGCAAAUGCUGGAAACUGGAAUCGGAAAAGGACAAAUUCGAUUUCAUCGUGUGCAAUCCGAUGACCCAACAGUGGACCGUGCUGCCUCCUAUUGAAUGGCUGGACCAAGACAACGGAGAACCCGAAAGUUUCGAGCUGAGUUAUCCCUUCCUGGUUUUCGACCCGUCCGUUCCGUCUCGUUUCGUCGUGUUUGCGCCCCUCUGGGAGUCGAUCGACGUUGUGCCGAUAUACUCAUGGGAAACCGGACAAUGGACUCCCAGCAGGGGGUGGGGACACAGACGGCAUGGUGCCGUUAGCGCCGAAUGUGUCUUCCUGAAUGGCAUGAUCCAUUUCUUACAUUUGCUUUUCCAUGGAACUUUCAUAACUAUACUAGACCUUGAGGGGGAGGUUUGCCGGAAAAUUACUUGCCCGGAUGGAAUGCAAGGGGCAACAACGCCUGGUUAUGGUUCGGUGGGGUGCUCUCAGGGACUCCUUCAUGCUUGGUAUAUGGAUCCUCAUGAUUACCAGCUCUCCGUGUGGGUGCUCAAGGAUUAUUAUGCUACUGAAGAAGAGUGGACCCUAAAGCAUACCGUCGACGUUCCAAAACUGUUUGAAGAAACGGAAUCCGACCAAGAAGAGGAUUAUCAUCGCCAAGAGGAUGGGUCCUGUAAGUAUCAGAUGUUUGCAAUUCAUCCAGAAUACAACGUGAUUUUCAUUACUGACUGGAAGCUGGUGAGUCUGUCAUACGACAUGGACAGCGGGCGAGUGCAUCCCAUGUGCACUUCUGCAGAUUUCUUUGGUGCUCUACCUUUUAUUCCUUGCUUUGCGGAUUUGGCUCACGGAUGA